rnacentral:lncRNA from 1 species
AGAGAAAGGGCUAUAUCUCCCCUUAAACAGUCCUUAGAAAUGCAAAGGAAAACAUACAUCACAGCUGGCGUCUGCAGCCAGAACCAACACGAUCCAUCCGUCUGGGACUCCACUUCACGGGAUUGGCUGGACCACCGCCCAGGGUCAAAGCAUCCCUCACUUCUCUCUUCUUCUCUCUUCUGCUUCGCCUCGGAGAGAGUGGUUCUCUAACAAAGACCUCAGCGGCCGCCGGCCAACUCUGACCCUUCCCCAUCAUGGCACUCCAUUGGCUCUCCGCUGUGCUGCUGAAAGAACCCUCCGCGUCCAGACACUGACAUUUGAUUCUGCAGGAAUUACUGAGUUGAUUGGAUGCUGUGUCCCUUGGUGAGGCGAUAGCCGACGCCCACUCUGCACCCGUCAAUCUCCAGUGACGUCCCUUUGUCACACGCUCCGCCAGCCACCGCCCACCCGAGCCACACAGCCAAUGAAAAUACAGCUUAGGUGAGAUGACAG